UGGGAAUCUUGGACAAUGGGGGAAACCCUGAUCCAGCCAUGCCGCGUGAGUGAUGAAGGCCUUAGGGUUGUAAAGCUCUUUCGCACGCGACGAUAAUGACGGUAGCGUGAGAAGAAGCCCCGGCUAACUUCGUGCCAGCAGCCGCGGUAAUGCGAAGGGGGCUAGCGUUGUUCGGAAUUACUGGGCGUAAAGCGCGCGCAGGCGGGUCAUCAAGUCAGAGGUGAAAGCCCGGAGCUUAACUCCGGAAUAGCCUUUGAAACUGUUGAUCUUGAGUACGGGAGAGGUGAGUGGAAUUCCCAGUGUAGAGGUGAAAUUCGUAGAUAUUGGGAAGAACACCAGUGGCGAAGGCGGCUCACUGGCCCGUUACUGACGCUCAGGCGCGAUAGCGUGGGGAUCAAACA
rnacentral:rRNA from 1 species